AACGCGAAAAACCUUACCUACCCUUGACAUGUCAGGAAUCCUGGAGAGAUCUGGGAGUGCCCGAAAGGGAACCUGAACACAGGUGCUGCAUGGCUGUCGUCAGCUCGUGUCGUGAGAUGUUGGGUUAAGUCCCGCAACGAGCGCAACCCUUGUCAUUAGUUGCUACGCAAGAGCACUCUAAUGAGACUGCCGGUGACAAACCGGAGGAAGGUGGGGAUGACGUCAAGUCCUCAUGGCCCUUAUGGGUAGGGCUUCACACGUCAUACAAUGGUACAUACAGAGGGCCGCCAACCCGCGAGGGGGAGCUAAUCCCAGAAAGUGUAUCGUAGUCCGGAUCGCAGUCUGCAACUCGACUGCGUGAAGUUGGAAUCGCUAGUAAUCGCGGAUCAGCAUUACGACUGGUAA
rnacentral:rRNA from 1 species